AAGUCGUAACAAGGUUUCCGUAGGUGAACCUGCGGAAGGAUCAUUAUUGAAUAUUCCUGAUGAGUUGUAGCUGGCUCUUUGGAGCAUGUGCACGCUUGUCUUGAUCUUAUUCAUCCACCUGUGCACAUUUUGUAGUCUUUUGGGCUGAGUCGAGUAUCGGAUGGAUGUCUAUCCGGAUGUGAGGACUGCUGAGUGCGAAAGCAUACGGCUCUUCUCUGUUUGACCUCACCCUUGAGUACUAUGUAUUCAUAUACCACAUAGUAUGUUGUAGAAUGUGAUCGUUGGGCCUUUGUGCCUAUAAUAAUCAUAUACAACUUUCAGCAACGGAUCUCUUGGCUCUC
rnacentral:misc_RNA from 1 species